rnacentral:tRNA from 1 species
GGACCCGUUGCAUAGCCCGGAUAGUGCGGAUGGCUUCGGACCAUCAGGUCGUGGGUUCGAAUCCCACCGGGCCCU